CCUACGGGAGGCAGCAGUGGGGAAUAUUGCACAAUGGGGGAAACCCUGAUGCAGCGACGCCGCGUGAGUGAAGAAGUAUUUCGGUUUGUAAAGCUCUAUCAGCAGGGAAGAAAUAGCGACCUUUGGGUCGCCAGACGGUACCUGAUUCCGAAGCCCCGGCUAACUACGUGCCAGCAGCCGCGGUAAUACGUAGGGGGCAAGCGUUAUCCGGCUUUACUGGGUGUAAAGCGAGCGUAGGCGGCAGCGCAAGUCUGAAGUGAAAUGCCAGGGCUUAACCCCGGAACUGCUUUGGAAACUGUGCAGCUAGAGUGCAGGAGAGGUAAGUGGAAUUCCUAGUGUAGCGGUGAAAUGCGUAGAGAUUAGGAGGAACACCAGUGGCGAAGGCGGCUUACUGGACUGUAACUGACGUUGAGGCUCGAAAGCGUGGGGAGCAAACAGGAUUAGAUACCCCUGUAGUC
rnacentral:rRNA from 1 species